CCUACGGGUGGCAGCAGUGGGGCAUAUUGGACAAUGGGCGAAAGCCUGAUCCAGCCAUGCCGCGUGUGUGAAGAAGGCCUUCGGGUUGUAAAGCACUUUCAGUGGGGAAGAAAGCCUUGGGGCUAAUACCCUCGAGGAAGGACAUCACCCACAGAAGAAGCACCGGCUAACUCCGUGCCAGCAGCCGCGGUAAUACGGAGGGUGCGAGCGUUAAUCGGAAUUACUGGGCGUAAAGCGCGCGUAGGCGGUCUGAUAAGCCGGUUGUGAAAGCCCCGGGCUCAACCUGGGAACGGCAUCCGGAACUGUCAGGCUAGAGUGCAGGAGAGGAAGGUAGAAUUCCCGGUGUAGCAGUGAAAUGCGUAGAGAUCGGGAGGAAUACCAGUGGCGAAGGCGGCCUUCUGGACUGACACUGACGCUGAGGUGCGAAAGCGUGGGUAGCAAACAGGAUUAGAUACCCCAGUAGUC
rnacentral:rRNA from 1 species